GUGCGUAACGCGUAUGCAACCUACCUUUAACAGGGGGAUAACACUGAGAAAUUGGUACUAAUACCCCAUAAUAUCAUAGAAGGCAUCUUUUAUGGUUGAAAAUUCCGAUGGUUAGAGAUGGGCAUGCGUUGUAUUAGCUAGUUGGUGGGGUAACGGCUCACCAAGGCGACGAUACAUAGGGGGACUGAGAGGUUAACCCCCCACACUGGUACUGAGACACGGACCAGACUCCUACGGGAGGCAGUAGUGAGGAAUAUUGGUCAAUGGGCGGAAGCCUGAACCAGCCAAGUAGCGUGAAGGACGACUGCCCUAUGGGUUGUAAACUUCUUUUAUGCGGGGAUAAAGUUCGCCACGUGUGGCGUUUUGCAGGUACCGCAUGAAUAAGGACCGGCUAAUUCCGUGCCAGCAGCCGCGGUAAUACGGAAGGUCCAGGCGUUAUCCGGAUUCAUUGGG
rnacentral:rRNA from 1 species